rnacentral:lncRNA from 1 species
UAUAAUUAUUGCUGGCUCCAGAAAAAAUGGGUUUCUUCCCUGCCCAUAGUUGUCUAUGCCAGUUACUAAUCUAUUUAAGUUUAAUAAAUCAAAAGCUGUUCUUAGGGACUGGCCAAGAGUUGUAAGUCCUUCAGCCUGAAGGUUUUUCAGUUCAUUCAUGAACGUCGCAUGGUUUUCCUUCCAGCCAGCCUUGAUGGCGUAGGGAGGCUCCUCGAAAGUGACCAGCAUGUACCUGUCUCCCCUGCUGGCCGGGUCCCGGGCUCGGAGCUGCGGCGCGGGGACAAAGCGGAGGGUGAGGCGAGAGGAGGCGCCGGAACCCCCCCGGCGCGGCGCUGCCCACCCCCCCCCCCGUCUCUCCCGCAGCCCCCGCGCCCCCGGCCCGCAGCCCCCCGCCGCCCCCUCCCCUCUCGCUCGCUCUCGCCUCCUCUCGCCAGGCAGCG